rnacentral:tRNA from 2 species
GGGGUAUAGCUCAGUGGUAGAGCGCUCCCUUAGCAUGGGAGAGGGCUGGGGUUCAAUUCCCCAUACCUCCA